UACAGAGGUCCCGAGCGUUGUUCGGAUUCAUUGGGCGUAAAGGGUGAGUAGGCGGCGGGGAAAGUCUGAUGUGAAAUCCUGGGGCUCAACCCUGGAACUGCAUUGGAUACUUCCUUGCUAGAGUACUGGAGAGGAAACUGGAAUUUACGGUGUAGCAGUGAAAUGCGUAGAGAUCGUAAGGAAGACCAGUGGCGAAGGCGAGUUUCUGGACAGUUACUGACGCUGAGGCACGAAGGCCAGGGGAGCAAACGGG
rnacentral:rRNA from 1 species